GUUUAUGGUUCCUGAGUUUCCUCGUGUUGUUUAUUGUAUGCGUCAAGCAGUUGUCUCCACUACAGAGGUUCAGCGAAUGGAACGAUGGUGCAAGGUCUCGGUUGAGAAGAGAUGCCACUCAAUAUGUGCAUUACACAUCCACAUACAAUCUAUCGUGUAGAAGUGAAUGCUCUAAAAAGGAAGGUAGCUAUAUGUGUGAGACAGACAAAGCGGGUACGAUAGACCAUUGUUCACCUAAACCAGGUAGGACCUCUCAGGGCAAAACAUGCCUAACAGAUCAUCAAUGUGACCACCACAACAAGAAUUACUAUUGGUGCAAAGCAAAUGAUGCUGGUAAUACUGAACACAAAUGCGGGCGGGUGGUAUAUGUUCGGACCUCCACCAUUAUCAAACCAACUAAAUCGUCCACUACCCUCACCACCACCCUCAACAUCACCACCACACCAAAAACCAACAAAGCGCAACAAACGAGUAACAUGACGACCACUUCAGGCUCAGCCUCUCCCAAGUUCAAACUAAGAAACUCCAUGAAGUUGUGUUUGGCCAGUGUCGUAAUGAUUAUAAACUUUUUACCGUAAGCACAAAAGAGCGUUUUAAAUGUAACGAAACGUAACCUCAGUGUGCAACCUCUUUACCAUGCCAUUUACGGUGGGUUUUAAAUGAGGAAAAAGAUUAAUUGCCCUUAGCAUAAUAUUGCUGUUAAAUGGGACAUAAUCAUGGGUGCUAUAAUAAUAACUCAUUUGGUUCAGCGACGUAGCCAGAGGGGAUCCCGGGGCCAUUGGGCCCACCUUGGAGAAAUUCUGAGCAGUACAAGCAUGUGCAUUUAUAUUCUUAUUUCUUGUAAUGGAAAUUUUAUAUCUUCCUAUGUUUUAAAUGUUUUGGAUUCAUUUGUGAUUAAAGUAGAACUGUUAUGUGUUAAAUGGUUAUUUAAAAUCAUCAAAACGCAUUAAAAUAGCCCUUUACCAACCCUAGAACUUUCCCAUUGUGCUCUAUUAUGCAUGGAUAGCAUGGGAGUCCAAAUACAUUUUCACAUAAUAAACAAACUUUAUUCAAACUAGUGCAGGGUAAAAUUACUUGGGCUCCUCUAGGGAUUUUUCACCCCCCUUGGCAAGAAAUCCUGGCUACAUCACUCAGGUUCGGUUGACUUAAAUUAUAACUUUGAAAUGAAUGUAUGUCAUUGAUUAUCUUUAGAAAAGAGGACAUACUUAUUGUGUAACAGACUGCAGUGCUAAGUAACCCAUCGGGCAAGUUAUUGUGAAUAAAUAAGCAAGAUUAACCAUGUUAUAUGACUCAAUAUGAUCUGAGAGCGAUUUGUGUGAGUGGCAUGAAUCAUUGAAUCUGCAGCAAGGAUAAAGUAUGCUUUGAGCCCACCAUCCUUAUACCCAGGGUCAGCAGGUGGCAUGGUGGCAGAGUGAGAGAACAUACCCUGGGUACAAGGUUGUGAGCCCACUCGUAGCCACAUAUUUUUUUCCAAGAACCUUUCAAUCUUUUAAAGCCUAUCUUUAGCUGAGCACUCUUAGUCAGUUUUAUGUGCAAUGUGUCAGUAAUCUGGCUAAGCCAUGGUUUGGCAGAAAAGGCUCCUUGAUGUGCAAAGCUAUUGA